UUAUUUGCGAUGAAAUAGAUAGUAGCAGAUCUCAUCCCUAUCACAGAGAGCCACUGAUGCUGGAAGGUGGCAUAUAUGAUUUUUGCGAAGUACACUAUGGAGCAACAACGGGUCAUUCCGAUAUCGAUGACAGAGUUGGUUACAUUUAUGUAGCAAUCUGGGUGGUAACGCGGAAAUUAAUUCGUCCCUGAU
rnacentral:ncRNA from 1 species